rnacentral:misc_RNA from 1 species
GAUGAAGAACGCAGCGAAAUGCGAUAAGUAAUGUGAAUUGCAGAAUUCAGUGAAUCAUCGAAUCUUUGAACGCACAUUGCGCCCCUUGGUAUUCCGGGGGGCAUGCCUGUUCGAGCGUCAUUAUAACCCCUCAAGCUCAGCUUGGUGUUGGGGCCUGCCGACUGGCAGCCCUUAAAAUCAGUGGCGGCGCCAUCUGGCUCUAAGCGUAGUAAUUUCUCUCGCUAUAGAGUCCCGGUGGAUGCUUGCCAGCAACCCCCAACUUUCUAUGGUUGACCUCGGAUCAGGUAGGGAUACCCGCUGAACUUAAGCAUAUCAAUAAGCGGAAGA